rnacentral:snoRNA from 1 species
AAAGCAGGCUGCAAUUACAGUGCUUCAUUCUGUGGGAGUACUGCCAUUCCCCUGCUGACAGUAACUCUGUUAAUUCUGUCUUUGGUUUCACCCAUGCAGUGGUGAGACCGUUUGGUCUUAACGUGUACAAGU